GAUGAACGCUGGCGGCGUGCCUAAUACAUGCAAGUCGAGCGAACAGAUAAGGAGCUUGCUCCUUUGACGUUAGCGGCGGACGGGUGAGUAACACGUGGGUAACCUACCUAUAAGACUGGGAUAACUUCGGGAAACCGGAGCUAAUACCGGAUAAUAUUUCGAACCGCAUGGUUCGAUAGUGAAAGAUGGUUUUGCUAUCACUUAUAGAUGGACCCGCGCCGUAUUAGCUAGUUGGUAAGGUAACGGCUUACCAAGGCGACGAUACGUAGCCGACCUGGGAGGGUGAUCGGCCACACUGGAACUGAGACACGGUCCAGACUCCUACGGGAGGCAGCAGUAGGGAAUCUUCCGCAAUGGGCGAAAGCCUGACGGAGCAACGCCGCGUGAGUGAUGAAGGUCUUCGGAUCGUAAAACUCUGUUAUUAGGGAAGAACAUACGUGUAAGUAACUGUGCACGUCUUGACGGUACCUAAUCAGAAAGCCACGGCUAACUACGUG
rnacentral:rRNA from 1 species